UACGAAGGGUGCAAACGUUAUUCGGAAUCACUGGGCGUAAAGGGUGCGUAGACGGUAUGUUAAGUUCGUUGUUAAAGGCUCCGGCCUAACCGGAGUACCGCAAUGAAAACUGGCGUGCUAGAGGGUGAGAGAGAGAAGUGAAAUUCCCGGAGUAGCGGUAAAAUGCGUGGAUCUCGGGAGGAACACCAAUGGCGAAGGCAGCUUCUUGGCUCAUUCCUGACGUUGAGGCACGAAAGCGUGGGGAGCAAACAGG
rnacentral:rRNA from 1 species